rnacentral:rRNA from 1 species
GGGAGCAAAGGGCGCCACGUGUGGCGUUUUGCGAGUACCUGAAGAAAAAGCAUCGGCUAACUCCGUGCCAGCAGCCGCGGUAAUACGGAGGAUGCGAGCGUUAUCCGGAUUUAUUGGGUUUAAAGGGUGCGCAGGCGGAAUGUCAAGUCAGCGGUAAAAUUUCGGGGCUCAACCCCGUCGUGCCGUUGAAACUGGCGUUCUUGAGUGAGCGAGAAGUAUGCGGAAUGCGUGGUGUAGCGGUGAAAUGCAUAGAUAUCACGCAGAACUCCGAUUGCGAAGGCAGCAUACCGGCGCUCAACUGACGCUCAUGCACGAAAGCGUGGGUAUCGAACAGGAUUAGAUACCCUGGUAGUCCACGCAGUAAACGAUGAAUACUAACUGUCCGGGCAGAAUGAUGCCUGG